CUGUGGCAGCUACCACCGUGGAAGCUCCGGCUCCAAGCCCAACCUCUGAUGCUGCUAUGUUUGUACCAGCAUUGUUUGCAUCUGUUGUUGCAUUGGCAUCUGGUUUCAUCUUUUGAUCAUUCUUUUGUUUUAACUCUAUUAUUUUAUUGUAUUUGUUAAUGAAGUUUGUGUGAUUUGGUUUCUCAUGUUUAGAAUGUUGCAUUGUUAAUGUAACCAUCUGUUUCCCUAGGUUCUUGUAUGUAUAUCUCUAUGUGUACCAUCAAUUAUCAGACUGUUUAUGAGUUCCUUCAUCUUAUUAUUACAAUUGCUGAUGUUAUCUUUGAUUAAUCCACAACAUCCAUGAAAAGAGUUGCAAAAAUGAUUUCAGUGAUUUGGGUUCAUACAAAAGAUCAAUGAGUGAGGAGGGUACCUUGGAAUUGUCCAAGAGUCGGUGGAAUCAAUAAUUCGAUGAGCUGUAUUUGGAUGGUUGUGUGGGGGCAACUAUGAUGUCGACAUCGUCAUCAUCAUUGUCAUGAUGUUGUUUUGGUGCCUUGAGGCAACAACAUAUGCUCCCAUGUGACUCACCCCGGAAAAGAAAGCAAGAAGAUGACCCCCACAAUAAAUGACUUCACAUGAAAUUGCAAUAAAAUCAUAGGGCGUAUAUGCCAACACAAGAUGGAGAAAACAUAUUCAACAUUCUCUUCUUCCAUCGUAAAGGAAACAUAUAUAGAUAAUCAAAGCUUAUGUUGCAAGCUGAUCAAUGCUACGUGCUUUUUCAUAUGAGAGUUAAAACAUAAUCUAAAUCACAAAUAUGGGUGCUAUCCUUAGUGCCAAUGCAUUUGAUUGUGGGCUAGUUCCAAUAACAGAUCAUGUAAACUAUGAAGUCAUUUCCCGCGACAUCAAGUAUUAAUACAUUCAUAGAAAACUUUCCAUACCAAUACCC
rnacentral:lncRNA from 1 species